GGUUUCGUGGUGUAGCUGGUUUAUCACAUAAUCUUAACACGCACGUGCAUGUUGAGCGGUUAUGGUCCCCGGUUCGAGCCCGGGCGAAAUCA
rnacentral:tRNA from 1 species